AUGGCCUGUUAUUUUAAUGACAUUUUCCUUGUAAUGCUGCUCUGCAUUAUUCUUCCCAGUUUUUUAACAGAUGAAGCCAGACAUUUAAACUCCACAUGCGUCAGAGAACUGCUUAUCUCCUCAUAUCAAGAAAGCCUUCAAAUUGUACAAGAAGCCUCACUUCUCUCCAGACAACGACGAAGCACACCCUCGUCUUCCAUGCAUGUGUUUACAUUCCUUCGGCAAACCGAGCCUGAGACCCUGGAGACUUCUCGAGCUGCAGAGGUUUUUCAAACAACUCUGCAGGUCCUAAAGAACAGAGCAAGACAGAGACAUAAAAGAGAUGUCACGGCACCAGAAUUGCUUUCAUGGGAGGACGUGGAGCUGAUUGCAGAGCUGUCUCAAUGUCUUCCCGCAACACAUCCAGCAAUCUGUCAGCAAAAUCAUCUUGACAAGUAUCGCUCCAUAACUGGCCUCUGCAAUAACAGCUACAUGCCCACCACCUCAAACCCAAUCAUUGCCAUUCUCUUGCUGUCCACCAGAUGCCCUCUGACUUUUCCUCCUGUCCCAGUCACAUCACUCCCGCAUCCAGCCACUCCCUCCUGCCCUGCAAUAACCCCUUUCUCUCCAGUCCCAGUCACCUGACCUUCCCCGCUCACUCACUUGCUCUCCACUUUCCCUAAUCAGCCCAUAAUUACAUAUACAGGUUCAUUUCCACUCCCAACUCUCUGCAGGAUUCUAAAACUUGCUUAAUGCCUUUGCUUUCUGGCUCUACUGUAAAUCUGUUAUUUGAGACUUGUUACCUGCCUUUCAUAUCAAAAAAUUUUUGGACAUACGUAAAUAUCCCAAUGCUGACUUAUUUAAGAAGGUGGCUAAAUUAUUGAGCGAGGGAAACUGUGUUCUCACGAAACCACAACGAAGACACCUCAAAGGGCAUUAUUUCACUUAUACCAGGAUAACUUGCCAAAGAAAAGAUUUUCCCAAAACAUAUGCAUUUUGCAAUUAAAUUCUAAAGUUGUACAAGCCAUAACUCCGUUUCCCUGGUAACGUCUUACUAAGUCCUACAGCAUGUGUACUUAGAGUCACAGCCUGAAGUAGUGAGCUGGAUAAAACACAAUAUUUUGUGCCUGUAAAUGUAGUCAGUGAACCUCUCAUCUGUCUGCGCCUCUUCUCCC
rnacentral:lncRNA from 1 species